AUUGAACGCUGGCGGCAGGCUUAACACAUGCAAGUCGAGCGGGGGAAGGUCGCUUGCUACCGGACCUAGCGGCGGACGGGUGAGUAAUGCUUAGGAAUCUGCCUAUUCGUGGGGGACAACAUCUCGGAAGGGCUGCUAAUACCGCCUACGUCCUACGGGAGAAAGCAGGGGAUCUUCGGACCUUGCGCUCAUAGAUGAGCCUACGUCGGAUUAGAUAGUUGGUGGGGUAAAGGGCUACCAAGGGGACGAGCGGUAGCGGGUCGGAGAGGAUGAUCCGCCAGACUGGGACUGGGACACGGCCCAGGCUCCUGCGGGAGGGAGCAGUGGGGAAUAUGGGGCAAUGGGGGGAACCCUGAUCCAGCCAUGCCGAGUGUGUGAAGAAGGCCCUAUGGGUGGAAAGAACGUUAAGCGAGGAGGAGGCGACUUUAGUUAAUACCGAGAGAUAGGGGACGGUACUCGCAGAAUAAGCACCGGCUAACUAUGUG
rnacentral:rRNA from 1 species